rnacentral:rRNA from 1 species
GGAGUAACGCGUAUCCAACUCCCCUUAGUAGGCAUAGCCCGGCGAAAGUCGGAUUAAUACCUAUGUUAUCCGAAGAGGACAUCUGAAUUGGAUUAAAGAUUUAUCGCUAAGGGAUGGGGGAUGCGUCUGAUUAGGUAGUCGGCGGGGUAAACGGGCCCACCGAGCCUGCGAUCAGUAGGGGUUCUGAGAGGAAGGUCCCCCCACAUUGGAACUGAGACACGGUCCAAACUCCUACGGGAGGCAGCAGUGAGGAAUAUUGGUCAAUGGGCGCGAGCCUGAACCAGCCAAGUAGCCGUGCAGGAUGACGGCCCUAUGGGUUGUAAACUUGCUUUUAUACGGGGAUAAAGUGAGGGACGUGUCCCUUUUUGUAGGUACCGUAUGAAUAAGGACCGGCUAAUUCCGUGCCAGCAGCUGC